GCCAGCGUGGCAUAGUGGUUUGAAUGUUAGACUACAACUCUGGAGCCCAAGGUUCGAGUCCCAGCUUGGCC